GGAAGUCGCAGCAGUCAGAAAAAGGAAGACCUCUGUUGUGAUAAACGUUCCCUUCCUCCUAUCAAUAAUCAUUAGUCUUCUAGAGCUUUGCACCAAGGAUUCUCAGUUUCUUGCACUGUUGGAGCGUUGGCAAGUCACGGUGAUAACAUUGGUUCCUUUGCUUGUGCUGUUUAGUGGCACCAACAACUAUGCUCAUCCCAAGGCACUGGAGGCACGUGGACUUCUUGUUGACCCUGUGCACUGUAGCUUCUUUGUGCAUUCAUGAACUGGAGGUGACUCUGAGGCUUCUGUGCUACUGUCUAUCACUUCUCCAUGCUGGGACACCCUGUGCUGCCUUGCAGACCUUCCUUGAAUGACCUCUGUGCUCUGGAAAUGUGAAUUAAAGUGUAAAUGUGUAGAUUGUGUGUUCCCAAAAGGAUCCUUUUCAGCCCUCUCAGAAGCACAAAAAUUAUGAGAUCUUGGUUCAAGUGGGCAUUCAAAUGGACAAUGAAGUCCUCACCUGAGAGAUGCCUCAGGGGUCCUGACACAUAUGCAGUUUUAAUGGGCAGCAUUUACCAUUGUUCAGGAAGGACUGUGCCAGCAGGGAAUUUUGUUCACAGAAUCAUUAUGUUUGGAAAAGACCUUUAAGAUCAUCGAGUCCAACCACUAACCUCACACUGCCA